rnacentral:rRNA from 1 species
UACGUAGGGUGCAAGCGUUAAUCGGAAUUACUGGGCGUAAAGCGUGCGCAGGCGGCUUUGCAAGACAGAUGUGAAAUCCCCGGGCUUAACCUGGGAACUGCAUUUGUGACUGCAUGGCUAGAGUCCGGAAGAGGAGAGUGGAAUUCCUGGUGUAGCGGUGAAAUGCGCAGAUAUCAGGAAGAACACCCGUGGCGAAGGCGGCUCUCUGGGACGGUACUGACGCUGAGACGCGAAAGCGUGGGGAGCGAACAGG